AAUCAACGCUGGCGGCGUGCCUCAGACAUGCAAGUCGAACGCGAAAGUUUCCUUCGGGAAGCGAGUAGAGUGGCGUCCGGGUGAGUAACACGUAGGUAAUCUACCUUUGGGUGGGGAAUAACAACCGGAAACGGUUGCUAAUACCGCAUAAUGCAGCGGCACCACAUGGUGACAGUUGUUAAAGCGGGGGAUCGCAAGACCUCGCGCCUAAAGAGGAGCCUGCGGCGGAUUAGCUAGNGGUAAGGUAACGGCUUACCAAGGCAACGAUCCGUAGCCGGCCUGAGAGGGCGGUCGGCCACACUGACACUGAAAUACGGGUCAGACUCCUACGGGAGGCAGCAGUCGGGAAUUUUGGGCAAUGGGCGAAAGCCUGACCCAGCAACGCCGCGUGAAGGAUGAAAUCCCUCGGGAUGUAAACUUCGCAAGAACAGGAAGAAUAAGUAGGGACAAUACCCCCUAUGAUGACGGUACUGUUUGUAAG
rnacentral:rRNA from 1 species